CCGCGGUAAUACGUAGGUGGCAAGCGUUGUCCGGAAUUACUGGGUGUAAGGGAGCGCAGGCGGGAGAGCAAGUCAGUGGUGAAAUGCAUGGGCUUAACCCAUGAACUGCCAUUGAAACUGUUUUCUUGAGUGGAUCAGAGGCAAGCGGAAUUCCGAGUGUAGCGGUGAAAUGCGUAGAUAUUCGGAGGAACACCAGUGGCGAAGGCGGCUUGCUGGGGUCUAACUGACGCUGAGGCUCGAAAGUGUGGGGAGCAAACAGGAUUAGAUACCCUGGUU
rnacentral:rRNA from 1 species